rnacentral:lncRNA from 1 species
UCGCCUCGGCCCUCCCGACGGACCCGAAGCCUAAACGUCUAUUUCUUUAAUAACUUUGUAACGGCUCGUCGGAUUGCCGAACCGUCUUCGCCAACGCGUUUCGUUACCUAGCAAUUAGGUUUACAAAGGGUCAAAUGAGAUCAAACCCUCAUAUUUUGAAAGUUUGCAUUUUGGAGCCCUAGGUUACAACUAUGCAAGAAAUCACUAAAUUGAUCCAUGAUUCAAGCAUUAAUCAUCUAGAUAGCAUGCUAGGACUCCUCUAAAUCCAUUUAUAAGGUAUUUAAACCAAGCAUUAAAGAUCUACCAUUAAAGGACUCAAGAAGCUCACCUCAAAAUGAGCUCCAAACCAUGGAGAAGAUGAAGAAGACAAAGGCGAUCCACCUCCAAGCUUCAAUCUCCACCAAAUCCAUUCUUUUUGGGAGAGAUUUAGAGAGAGAAAGAGAGGCUUCUC